CCAAUAUGCAGGUGCUUUGGUUCCCGCGGCGCAAGUCGCGGGUGAAGAGGGAAGCCGGUGAGAAUCCGGCACUGCCCCCGCAACUGUAAGCGGCAAGUUUCGGUCCCGAUGCCACUGGCGCAGAUGCGCCGGGAAGGCGGGCCGAAGCGCCCGAGCCGCGAAGUCAGGAGACCUGCCAGGGCGCCAUAGACGAC
rnacentral:ncRNA from 2 species